rnacentral:rRNA from 1 species
GGAGGGGUGCAAGCGUUGUUCGGAAUUACUGGGCGUAAAGCGCGUGUAGGCGGAUUCAGAAGUCGGGGUGUGAAAGCCCCGGGCUCAACCCGGGAAGUGCGCCCGAAACCAUGAGUCUUGAGGUCCGGAGGGGAUCGGGGAAUUCCUGGUGUAGAGGUGAAAUUCGUAGAUAUCAGGAGGAACACCGGUGGCGAAGGCGCCGAUCUGGACGGAUUCUGACGCUGAGACGCGAAAGCGUGGGGAGCAAACAGGAUUAGAUACCCUGGUAGUCCACGCUGUAAACGAUGUGCACUAGGUGUCGGGGGUAUUGACCCCCUCGGUGCCGACGCUAACGCAUUAAGUGCACCGCCUGGGAAGUACGGCCGCAAAGGCUG